CCUACGGGAGGCAGCAGUGGGGAAUUUUCCGCAAUGGGCGAAAGCCUGACGGAGCAAUACCGCGUGAGGGAAGACUGCCUAUGGGUUGUAAACCUCUUUUUUCAGGGAGGAAUCAAUGACGUGUACCUGAAGAAUAAGCAUCGGCUAACUCCGUGCCAGCAGCCGCGGUAAUAC
rnacentral:rRNA from 1 species